UCGAAACCUGCAAAGCAGACCCGCGAACAUGUGUUUAACCUCUUGGACGUCGAAGCGUGGGGGGACGAAAGGAUCCCCACGCCGAGGCCCCUUGUCCGUGCGAUGCUUGCGUCGUUCCGGACUAACGAACCCCGGCGCGGAAUGCGCCAAGGAAAACUACAAAAGAAGCGUCUGCCCCUCGCUGCCCCGUUCGCGGGUGCCUGCGGGGGAAACACGACCUAUCUUGAAUGUCAAAACGACUCUCGGCAACGGAUAUCUCGGCUCUCGCAUCGAUGAAGAACGUAGCGAAAUGCGAUACUUGGUGUGAAUUGCAGAAUCCCGUGAACCAUCGAGUCUUUGAACGCAAGUUGCGCCCGAAGCCAUUAGGCCGAGGGCACGUCUGCCUGGGCGUCACGCAUCGCGUCGCCCCCUCCCUUUCGGGUUGGGGCGGAAACUGGCCUCCCGUGCGCGUGAGGUGUGCGGCUGGCCCAAAUCUGAUCCGUGGCGACGGAUGUCGCGACAAGGUGGUGGUUGAACUCUCAACUCGCGUGUUGUCGUGACUGGCUCCGUCGCAUGCUCGGGUAUCAAUAUGACCCAACGGUGCUUAAUUGCGCUUUCGAC
rnacentral:rRNA from 1 species